rnacentral:rRNA from 1 species
GAUGAACGCUGGCGGCGUGCCUAAUACAUGCAAGUCGAGCGAAGCGGGGACGGGUGAGUAACACGUGGAUAACCUCCUAUAAGAUUGGGAUAACUUCGGGAAACCCGAGCUAAACCGGAUACUUAUACAUGGAUCCGCGCUGCAUUAGCUAGUUGGUAAGGUAACUGCUGACCAAGGCAACGAUGCCUAGCCGACCUGAGAGGGUGAUCGGCCACGCUGGAACUGAGACACGGUCCAGACUCCUACGGGAGGCAGCAGUGGGGAAUCGUCCGCAAUGGGCGCAAGCCUGACGGAGCAACGCCGCGUGAGUGAUGAGGGUCUUCGGAUCGUAAAACUCUGUUAUUAGGGAAGCGGUACCUACUCAGAAAGCCACGGCUAACUACGUGCCAGCAGCCGCGGUAAUAC